AUUGAACGCUGGCGGCAUGCCUUACACAUGCAAGUCGAACGGUAACAGGUCUUCGGAUGCUGACGAGUGGCGAACGGGUGAGUAAUACAUCGGAACGUGCCUAGUAGUGGGGGAUAACUACUCGAAAGAGUGGCUACUACCGCAUGAGAUCUACGGACGAGAGCAGGGGAUCGCAAGACCUUGUGCUACUAGAGCGGCCGAUGGCCGCAUAGGUAGUUGGUGGGAUAAAAGCUUACCAACCCGACGAUCUGUAGCUGGUCUGAGAGGACGAUCAGCCACACUGGGACUGAGAAACGGCCCAGACUCCUACGGGAGGCAGCAGUGGGGAAUUUUGGACAAUGGGCGCAAGCCUGAUCCAGCAAUGCCGCGUGCAGGAUGAAGGCCUUCGGGUUGUAAACUGCUUUUGUACGGAACGAAAAGCCCCAGGUUAAUACCCUGGGGUCAUGACGGUACCGUAAGAAUAAGCACCGGCUAACUACGUGCCAGCCGCCGCGGUAAUAC
rnacentral:rRNA from 1 species